rnacentral:rRNA from 1 species
GAUGAACGCUAGCGGCAGGCCUAAUACAUGCAAGUCGAACGUUCAGUAGCAAUACUGGGAGUGGCGCACGGUGCGUAACGCGUACACAAUCUACCUCUGAGCGGGGACACCUCCUGGAACGGGGAUUAAUACCGCAUAAUAUGCCGAGGUCGCAUGACUUUGGUAUUAAGCAGCAAUGCACUUAGAGAUGAGUGUGCGUCCCAUUAGGAGUUGGUGAGGUUAACGGCUCACCAAGCCUAUGAUGGGUAGCCGGUCUGAGAGGAUGGUCGGCCACACGGGCACUGAGACAC